UACGGGGGGGGGCAAGCGUUGUUCGGAAUUACUGGGCGUAAAGGGCUCGUAGGCGGCCAACUAAGUCAGACGUGAAAUCCCUCGGCUUAACCGGGGAACUGCGUCUGAUACUGGAUGGCUUGAGUUUGGGAGAGGGAUGCGGAAUUCCAGGUGUAGCGGUGAAAUGCGUAGAUAUCUGGAGGAACACCGGUGGCGAAGGCGACAUCCUGGACCGGUAUUGACGCUGAGGCGCGAAAGCCAGGGGAGCAAAGCGGG
rnacentral:rRNA from 1 species